rnacentral:rRNA from 1 species
CACGGAGUUAGCCGAUCCUUAUUCCCUCGGUACAUUCAGCUAAAUACACGUAUCUAGGUUUAUUCCCGAGUAAAAGCAGUUUACAACCCAUAGGGCAGUCUUCCUGCACGCGGCAUGGCUGGUUCAGAGUUGCCUCCAUUGACCAAUAUUCCUUACUGCUGCCUCCCGUAGGAGUCUGGUCCGUGUCUCAGUACCAGUGUGGGGGGCCAUCCUCUCAGAUCCCCUAGUCAUCGUCGCCUUGGUGGGCCGUUACCCCGCAACUAGCUAAUGACACGCAUGCCCAUCUUCAUCCCAUAAAUGUUUGAUCAUUGUACUAUGCAGUACUGUGAUUUUAUGCGGUAUUAAUCCGGAUUUCUCCGGGCUAUCCCCCAGAUAAAGGUAGGUUGCAUACGCGUUACGCACCCGUGCGCCGGUCUCUAGAAGAGCAAGCUCCUCUAUACCCCUCGACUUGCAUGUAUUAGGCCUGCCGCUAGCGUUCAUCCUGAGCCAGGUA